UUCUAGGGCUAUCCCACCCUGAAUAUGCCUGAUCCAAUCUGGAAGGUAAGCAAGUCAGUCCUGGUUUGUACUUGGAUGGGAGACUACUUGGAAAUGUCAAGUGCUAUAGGCU
ensembl:rRNA 5S_rRNA 5S ribosomal RNA